UUCACAUUAACUGUAUUUCCUUUAAAAAUGUGUCAUUUCCAGUUUGCUGCACUGUACCGAUGGGCAGCUUGGCGCUGUGACCUUUUCCUCCCUGGUCGUGACUUCCAUGCCGUCUGCCUUUUGCUGCUACCCUGCUGGGCUCGUAUCAUGAGGCGUACCACUUCCAAUCGAUGUACUCAUGUACCCUCGGAUCACCCGCCAUUCGUCAGAUGUAUCUCCGACUCACAAGGGUCGAGACCUUUCUUCUCCAGGACUGACGUAUCCUCAUUUUUUGCCUUGCAUCACUUCCUUUUCAAGGGAACGGCGUUGCCUGGCUGAGACAAUGCUAUCAUCACUCCUCUCUGUCCGCUCAGCUGUGACAGAUUGAUGCACUGGGGUAAACAGAUAGGGCUGCUACCGCACAGCUUUUUGGUUACUCCAAUGGAGCGGUGCCGUAUUUCACAGGGACAAGAGACAGCGCCGCAUGAGGGCCGAGACUGAGCGUGGAGAUAUUAAUGCCUAUUGACUCGAGGUACCAAGGUGUAGGAGGAAACUCAGAGGGGGCCAGGUCUUCUCUAUUGCUGCUCCUAUCCCUACACAUUAAAGAGGCUCUUUCACUGUCUGCUUUAAAAACUCGUCUUAAAACUCAUAUUUAUUCUUUUGCUUCCAAUCCCAGGGAGACUUAAAUUAAACUUGUUUGUUUUAAUUGGUUUUAUUGUGUUUUUGUUUUACAAUUCUUAAGACAGAUUUUUAUGUUUUGUUCUUUUAAUAUAUGAUUAUAGUUUGCAGUUAUGUGCAGCACUUUGUCUCAGCUGUGGUUGUUUUAAAGCACUUUAUAAAUAAAGUUAUUAUGGUUAUCAUGUUGUAUAGUGGAUAUUGUAACCUAUUUGACUGCCUCUUACUGUAUAAAGUUGUAUCUUAUCUUACUUCAUAUCAGAUUUUAUUGUUUUAUUUUGUUUUGCAACAUUAUGCAUGCAUUGCACCCAAGUCCAUUGUAUUGUAUAUUAUCUUGUAUGUAUUAUAGUAUUAUAUGAUACAGUGUUAUAUCUUCUCUUGAGGCAUCCAACUGUAUCUUAUUGCAUUAUAUUUUAUCCUUUUGCUUGCAUUAAUACCACACUUCACUGUAUAUCGUAUCGUCUUUACCUGAGCUUUCAAAAGACACGUGGAAAUCUAAUAUUUUGUAUUGACCUUAUGUCUGCUUUACCUUUAGGAUUCAGCACCAAGCUCAUGUUUAACAAAAACAAUGAAUGAGUUGGUUGGGGAGGUUAUCUCUGGGCAUGGGGUCCAGUUGUUAUCUGAGGAAAUUGCCUCUGGCUUUCCAAAAGAUGUGCUAUCCAGAUAUACCAUUUGUUAUCUUUUUCUCAUCAGAUAAAAAGGCACCAAAGCAUUGGCUGCACUUUAAAAAGAGGCUGUGGUUGACUUCUGGACAGAGGGCUCCAACAGCAUGAAAUGACUUCUGCUAAACCCCAGUUGGUUUUCCGAAAGAUUUAGACAUCAAGGUGAAAUAACUAUCUAAAUCCAAGGGUGUUCAAAUCAUCUGUCUCAUCUCAUGUUUUAUAAAUGCCACUGCCACAGAACCUCGCAGAACAAGGUCAUUGUGGACCUCUGAUCAUCCGGGUUUGCCGUAGUUUAAAGCCUAUCCUAAAAGGCCGCUGUGCCUUAGAUCUCCUCAUUUCCAUCAUUCUUUUUAUCCAUCUCAAAUGUUUAUAGUGGUAUAACACAAAUACCAAUCUCCGAUAUAUUUCUUCUGUGUAGAAAUCCAAGUACAUCUAUUGGAGCUAACUGGAGGCAAAAUUAUACAUUUUUUAAAGAUUUUCAUAACCUGAAGCCAGGCAGGUAAAGCUCUCCCCUGGUUAAAUCUUCCUGGUUCUCUCAUUUGGAGUUAGGGUCUACAUUUUUAAAUACAUCCAUUGAAUACAUUUUGCUUUAUUUACAUGGUGUUCUUAAGAGGCUAGGAUCUGAACUAGUUAACUCUCUCAUUUAAAUUUAAUGUAAUUUUAACAGCUUUACAGACAACUGGUUUUCAACAUGCUUGGCAGGAUUUUUACCUCAAGCUCUGUCUCUCCCGACAAAAAAACCUUCAACCAGAAGCUAUGAAUCAGCCAUGUUGUUAAAGUCUAGAACAUCAGCCUGAACAGAAUAAGAGGAGGUUUGUACCCCUCUGCUUUAGUUGGAGGCAAGAAGGAAGAGUUUGUCCGCUUUGUUGUGUCUUUCCUGAAAGGAACAUGCAGUUAAAGUUAGAUUGUAGUUGGAUUUUAAAAUCAAAAAGCCCAACACUAACAUGAGGGAACAAACCAAAAUGCACAAAAAGAAGAGCACCAGAAAUAAGUAAGAAACUAAACACCAACAAAUGAACUUAAAUGGCAAGACCCUAGUGACAAUAAUGAACAACAUGGAAGGAACUGAAUAUGACAAGACCUUACUGACAUAAAUAAAUACCGAAAUGAUCAGAAAACAAACAGAAUAUAAACCAAAUACCAUUUACCUGACUGCAUUUCAAAGUUUUUCUCAUUGCAUAAUAGUAUUACUGUUACCAGGAACAGAUAAAAGUGUCCAAAGAAGGUAAAAACAACAUUUUGUAAAACAACCUUUUUCCUUUUGGCUCCACAUCUUUGAAAUAAACCGUCUUGACUUCAA